UACGUAGGGUGCAAGCGUUAAUCGGAAUUACUGGGCGUAAAGCGUGCGCAGGCGGUUUUGUAAGUCUGUCGUGAAAGCCCCGGGCUCAACCUGGGGAUUGCGAUGGAGACUGCAAGGCUUGAAUCUGGCAGAGGGGGGUAGAAUUCCACGUGUAGCAGUGAAAUGCGUAGAGAUGUGGAGGAACACCGAUGGCGAAGGCAGCCCCCUGGGUCAAGAUUGACGCUCAUGCACGAAAGCGUGGGGAGCAAACAGG
rnacentral:rRNA from 1 species